GAUGAAGAACGUAGUGAAAUGCGAUAAGUAAUGCGAAUUGCAGAAUUUCCGUGAGUCAUCGAAUCUUUGAACGCACAUUGCGCCCACUGGUAUUCCGGUGGGCAUGCCUGUUCGAGCGUCAUUAUCCUCCCUCAAACCCCGGGUUUGGUGUUGGACCCAAGUUGUGUGAACAACUGGUCUUAAAGACAAUGACGGCGUCCGUGGGACCCUCGGUGCAACGAGCUUUUAGGAGCACGCAUCGAGUUGCAAGGACCUUCCGGGCCGGUCUCCUUUACUAUUUUACAAGGUUGACCUCGGAUCAGGUAGGAAUACCCGCUGAACUUAAGCAUAUCAAUAAGCGGAGGA
rnacentral:misc_RNA from 1 species